UGCAAUUUGACCAGGUCAGUAGAUGAAUGUCCUGGCAAGAGAGUAGACUCUUAAAUAAAAAUGAUACAUUUAUAAUAUAAAUAUGGGGGGGGGAUUCUGCAACCAUAUUGAGAUUGAUUGCACUGCAAAACAUCAAAAGCAUUUCAGAGCCAUUUAAGAAGUGAUUUCUUAGGAUUAAGCUUGUUACAAAUGUCCCCUUACUGUGUUUCUACAUGGCAACCAUGGAGAACAGGCAUAUCUACUAUUCUCAGAAUCUGAUGUUUUCCAGGGGGAGCAAAUUGCUGUGGCAGAAAUCCUGGGCCUUGACCUUUCAGGGAUUGUACUCAGAGAAGGUACAUUAAAGCUGGAAGACCAAUUGGACUUAAAUAGUCCAUGACUUUCGUGCUAUGGACAAGAGAGCUGAGACCAGCCUGGGUUAGGAGGCACAGUGACCAUGAAACAGAUAUAACUGCUUAUGAUCUGAACUCCAGCACUGCCUUAUAAUUCAAGAAUCCUGAAGAUCCAUAAGAAAUCUGAUGCCCUCUGAUUCUUGUUCAUUGUUGUCAGCCCUGAUGCCAAGAACUUCUUGAGGGAGAAGAGGAUCACUCAACCUUACUGCUCCCACAGAGUCAGACAGUUGCAUUCAUUGUUUCUUGCCAACCUGUUUGUCCUGUAGUAGUUUCUCAAGGUAUACACUGAAAGGAAAAAAAUAAUAACUUACUGUUUCCUGGGAGAGUUACAUCCAACGAUAACUUUUACAUGGCAAAAUAGGCCUGGGUUUCAAGGAAUUCGUUCCUUCAACACACGUGUGAGUUAGAAACGUACCAGAUUCUGCCUUUCCAGACAUCCUCCCACUACGUGUGUAUAAAAAUUUUGUAGUACCCAUUUAUAUUUGCUGGGCAAGUGUGUCAUUGCUUUAGUCUCUCAGCCUAACUACUAUCAUUGAUGGAAGCUUAACUAUUCAUACCACAGACUCAUAAAUAAGGUACCAUAACCAUAAAUAGGCAUAAACAAGACAACCAGUUGACUUAAUAAUACAUUCCUCAAAUUGUAGGGCAUGAGCUCAUGAGGCACAUCUUUGUAAGUGUCAGCUCAGGAAAAAACAAACCUUUAAAAUCGCAGUGAGUCAUGGACACAUUGUUUUCCUAUGUAGCCCUGCAUCCCUCUUUAUAAUGGCAACUGCAUACUGUCAAGUCAAUCUUGCAUCACCCAAAACUUCUUUAAACUAAGCAUUGUGGAUUUGUGAGAGUACAAAUGAUACCCCAGACUGUGGGUGCAGAAGCAGAGUUUAACAUUGUCUGCCAUACAAGAAAAAUUCAUUCUCUUCCUGGCUCCAUGAUAUUCCCAUGCCAGUAUCUCUUGCUUGGAUCCACUAAGGUAAUUUUCCUUUUUCAGGUUUUAAUGAGCUUGGGAAACAGAGAAAGCAUGUCAAAAAGUAGAAGAAAGGAAAGGAAAGAAAACAAACACGAUGCUCUGCUAUGCCUUCUCAUUUAACCCUGGAAAACAGUGCAAAGAAUUAUUCACAGAUGAGGACAUGUGGCAUGAAAAGUUGAUACCUAUGAUUAUGUAGUCUGUUGCAAAUCUUGAAUUUGCAGGAAUUUGACUCCACAACCCAUCAUGCUAUUAUACUACUGCUAGAAGUCUCUUUUAAUACUCAUACUUUUUUUUGGAUUAAAAAUCCAAAUUUUAUUUUUAACCUGUAUCAUUUAAAUCUCAAAUACUUGGGGCACCUGUGUAGCUCAGUAGGUUGACAAUCCAGCUUCGGCUCAGGCCAUGAUCUCGCAGUUCAUGCGUUCGAGUUCCACGUCGGGCUCUUGCUGACAACUCAGAGCCUGGAGGCUGCUUUGGCUUCUGUGUCUCUCUCUCUCUGCCCCUCCCCUGCUUGUGGGUGCAUUUUCUCUCUCUCUUUCAAAAAUAAACAUUAAAAAAAUAAUAAAAAAUAAAUCACAAAUACUUGGUAUGAACA